GAUAGAUUGUUUUUGAUUCCUUGUGGGAGGGAUGGCCAGAAAAGGAGAUGUAGCAUAAUUCAGGUUGUCAGGAAAUUUAUUUUGGGAGAGGAGUUGCCUGGACCACUUGUCAUAUGUAUUAGUAAACUUUCGGUUGCUGGGUAAAAAUAGUUGACACACAAUUUAAAGGAGGAAAGAUUUAUUUUAGCUCAUGGUUUCAGAGGUUUCAGUUCACAGUCAGCUGACCAGAAACAUCAUGGCGGAAAGGCAUGGCACGUGAAAGUUGCUCACCUCAUUGCACCUGGGGAGCAGAGAAAGAUAGAAAGAGCCAAAGAAGAAGGGGCCUAGGACAAGACAUACCCUUCAAAGAAAUGCUCCCAGUGACCUACCUUCUCCAACUAGGAGAAACAUCCCAUUCAGUCCUUUUGCCUCUUUGAAGCCUUUGGAGCCGUUGACUUUGUAGCCAUUCUGGGUUUUUGGACAGAGAAAUCGCUGGACCAGAUUGUGCCUCUUUUUAGUCAGCCUUACGCUGCUUGCCCUGGGUGAUGGAGCCUCAGCUGGUGGCCAGCCUGGCACUGGAUUGAAUCAAGACUGGCAGGAAUUUUUCUUUCAAGACGUCUACUGUGAUGUGGGUUGCUUGAAGAUGCUGGGUCCUGUGCAUUCCAGAGUGCUGCCUGUUGACCACUACAUAGCUCCGGAGAGGACUCGCCUCACGGUCUCUACCAGCUAUGCUAAAGAUAGAUGACCAAUGGAGUUGGCAGCCUCAGAGACAUCCUCCCAUUUCCCCUUUCUUUUCAUGAGCUACAUUAACUAUAUCUGCUACAAAAACCUGGGAUCUGACCCUGGACUAAUUUUCUUCUAGAGAGGGGAGUGUUUCCUAGGUCUCCAGUCCCCAGGGCCCCAACCCUCGAACUGGUGCUCACGUAGGGGCAUCUGAGGAAUCUAGAGCUAUUAACUGGGGGAGGACAUCUCAGAUGUUUAUUACCAAAAUAAAAAGCUGACUAAUGUGCUCAGUGAGAUACAAAAGUUUUGAGAGCAGAGUAGCUAGGAUUAGGGGAUUGGAAAUGGAACAUUUCCAGCUGGCACCUGAGACAGGGACCAAAGACUUCAGCAAAAACUGCCAGGUGGCUAAAGAGCCAGGUGGGACAGCUCAGCUUCAGAUGCAGACAAGCCACCCCACCCCGUGGAGAAGCUCCACAUCGCUGAGGUCCUUGCUCCCAGGGCCUAGGGGCUUAUGCAACGCCUCCUGCACACUGCCACUUUGAGAAGAGAAGGAGGAAGGAAGACAUCCCGAGAAUGAACAAUCAGUCUUACCCCAAAGUUUGGCUUUGAGUUGACUGGCUAUGUAGCCUUCUCAGGAUCGGAUGAACAAAAUGGGGACAAUUUAGCUUUAAUUGGCAAGUAGAGUUUUUUUUCUUUUGCCAUCGUCGGCAUAUGGACCAGAGGGCAAGAUGAGAGCCACUGUAGGAUUAUUGGAGCUAACAACUAUGAAUGGUUCCAGAUCCAAGUCUAUCUUUUCAUCGCUUGAAAGUCAAUACUUGAAGACGAGAGGAGGAAGGAAAUCAUGUAUUCAGAGGCUGGCACCUUCAGAAAAUGGAGUAGAUAGGGCUACCAUUUUGGUGAACUUGAGAAGAUAGGAGGACUUCUAUAGGGAGGGGAAAGAGCUGCAGGGAGACAACGAGGAAAGCUAAGGGCUGAGUGGGGUCUUUGCCAUCCAGGAUGUGUGUGUGUGUGUGUGUGUGUGUGUGUGUGUCCUUCAUCCAGAACAGCACAAUGGGCCUUGUUCUUAUAAUUCUGUAGACAAAUAUUACUUUUUUCUGCAAGUAAAGCAUCAUUUUACACUAUCUGGUAUAAUCUGAGAGUUGCUAGGUGUUCUGGGUUCUGUAAAUUUGGAAAAAAUUAUUUAGCAGUUAACAUCUUAAUCUUUUAGGUGCAGCUUUUUAUCGGAAUUUAGAAUACUGGACAAGGGGAGAGGGAGGAAUUCUACAAAGGACAACUUGCAAAAAGAGUGGCCGCUGUUACAUGAAGGGGAGAGAGAGAAUUAUGUGUUCCUACUAUAUAGUUUGAUGCACCAUGGUUUUGUAGCAAGGGGGAUAAUUUUCUCCUUACCUUUAAUCAUUCUUAACUGGAAAUCCUUGUAAAAAAGAAAUACUGCAAGAGAAAGAAAAGUGUAUCAACA
rnacentral:lncRNA from 1 species